AGGUGAACCUGCGGAAGGAUCAUUGUCACAACCUGACACACCGAUUAGACCCGCGAACUUGUUCAUAUGCCCCUAUGCUGGCGGUGCAGCCGUGGCCCUUCUGGGGCGAUGGGCUUAUCGCCGGCCUUAACAACGAACCCCGGCGCAGGACGCGCCAAGGAACUCCAACAAAGGCGGCACGCCCUUGGCUCCCGUUCGCGGGGGCGCGGGGCGGUGGCUUCUUUGACGAAUAAAAACGACUCUCGGCAACGGAUAUCUCGGCUCUCGCAUCGAUGAAGAACGUAGCGAAAUGCGAUACUUGGUGUGAAUUGCAGAAUCCCGUGAACCAUCGAGUCUUUGAACGCAAGUUGCGCCCGAAGCCAUUAGGCCGAGGGCACGUCUGCCUGGGCGUCUCGCAUCGCUUCGCCCCCAAAGCCCUGCCACCCCACGGGGCAUGGGCAUCCGGGGGCGGACAUUGGCCCCCCGUGAGCGGCUGCUCGUGGUCGGCCUAAAAUUGAGUCGCCGGCGAUGGACGUCACGACGAGUGGUGGUGGCUGACAUACAGUUUGCGUCCCGUCGUGUUGCAAUCGUCACCGUCGGCGGUCUCACGUGACCCUGAAGCAUUGGCACACAGUGCCGGUGGCAUCGACCGCGACCCCAGG
rnacentral:rRNA from 1 species